rnacentral:rRNA from 1 species
UACGAAGGGUGCAAACGUUGCUCGGAAUUAUUGGGCGUAAAGCGCACGUAGGCGGCUUUGUAAGUCGGAUGUGAAAUCCCUCGGCUUAACCAAGGAAGUGCAUCCGAAAUAACAGAGCUUGAGUACUUAAGAGGAUCGCGGAAUUCCCGGUGUAGAGGUGAAAUUCGUAGAUAUCGGGAGGAACACCAGUGGCGAAGGCGGCGUCUGGGAAGAUACUGACGCUGAGGUGCGAAAAGCGU